GCGUGAGGGAGGCAGUGGGCAGAUGCUGGAGCACGCAGGUGUAGGGCGGUGUGGAGCUGCUGAUGUCGUGUGUCCUCCUUCUCCUCCUCCGCAGCAGAGUCUGCCGGUAUGACAUCUCCUCCGCCUGCACUUCACGCUGCUUUCUGGCACGCUGUUGGAUAAACAGGAUUUUCCAACGGGGUCUGUUUGACUUGGGUCGCUUGUGUUGUCCGAGAGGCAGCUUAAGUGAGCGAACUCCUGCUUGUAUCACUGUCUAGGCUGGAGUCUGUUUCACGUUAGCUCAAUCUCUCUGGUGUUUGGAGUUUUUAGAGGCCGUAGUUUUUAUCCUGGUUUUGCUGGAUGCUGCUUUCCACGCAGUCUGGAGAUGACUGAAAACCUGGUGUUCCAUUGGUGAAGCAAAAAGCGGAGGCAGGGGAGGGGAGCGCUGCUCACUGACUUACCACAUCAAGGGCAGCAGCAGCAAGAGCCGACCGUUUCUCACCGGACUCACAAACACCACUCCAGUGAUGACUCUUCAGGUGUCGCAGGGGAAGGGGGAGCAUAUGGGCAGUAAGCCCCGUGGCAGACUCACUCGCAGGAGUUAUGUGCAUUAAUUAAUAAACUAUAGCUUUAUUCUUUGCA